rnacentral:rRNA from 1 species
GAUGAACGCUGGCGGCGUGCCUAAUACAUGCAAGUCGAGCGAACAGACGAGGAGCUUGCUCCUCUGACGUUAGCGGCGGACGGGUGAGUAACACGUGGAUAACCUACCUAUAAGACUGGGAUAACUUCGGGAAACCGGAGCUAAUACCGGAUAAUAUAUUGAACCGCAUGGUUCAAUAGUGAAAGACGGUUUUGCUGUCACUUAUAGAUGGAUCCGCGCGGCAGUAGCUAGUUGGUAAGGUAACGGCUUACCAAGGCGACGAGGCGUAGCCGAGUUGAGAGGGUGAUCGACCACACUGGAAGUGAGACACGGUCCUGACUCCUACGGGAGGGAGCAGUAGGGAAUCUUACGCAAUGGGCGGAAGCCUGACGGAGCAACGCCGCGUGAGUGAUGAAGGUCUUCGGAUCGUAAAACUCUGUUAUUAGGGAAGAACAAAUGUGUAAGUAACUAUGCACGUCUUGACGGUACCUAAUCAGAAAGCCACGGCUAACUACGUG